rnacentral:lncRNA from 1 species
CAUGGACGGAGCAGGGCAGCGGCGGCGGGGAGUGGGGGUGGGGGUGGUCCUGGGACUUUGUCCCAACGAUGGUUUUGUGGGAACUGGGUGAACAGCAAUAUCUUCCCACAAGGCUAGCUUGAGUGUCUUUUGUGACGUCUGCCUACAGUUUGAGUGUCUUUUGUGACGCCUGCCUAGAUUCUCUGGGUGUCUCAUUGUCACCACAUUAAUUCUGUGCCUCGGGUGCAGAGGGAUGGAGCGCUGGCUUUCCCGUCGCUGAGAUAAAGAUGUUGUCACCUGACACCAAACCAGGAGACUUCAGCUUGCCCUGCCCCUCCGUCCUUUCUGGAGGGUAGUACCGCCUUUGUACCAGCAGGGGCCGCUCUUGUCCGAAGUCAACUGUGCUGAGACCGAGCCAUAGUUUGGGAGGAGACUGCAGUCAUCGGAAUGCCCAGGCUCCCAGGAAGCCCCCUUUCUACAGAGCCUCGAGGAAUUGGGCACCCCUCUGGGAGCUCAGCAGCAGGAGCAGCAGCAGGGGCAGGAGCAGCAGCGUGGCCAACCCUUUCACCGGGUAUGACAGAUAGACCCCAGCUCCCCCUCCUGAUCCUUCCCUGCCAGCAACCACUCUGUACUCUUCUGUUCCAUCAGCUCUCUGUGCCCGGACCUAGCUCGGGCUCCAUCUGCGCCCAUCUGAAUCUAUCUUCUGUGGCCCUCUGUCUGCUUCCCUGUCUAUAUGCGCUGUCCCGGUCGCUUGGAAGCCUGCCUCUGUCUCUUUCUGUAACACUGUUUCUUCAUUUCUAUGUCUGUCUCUCUGUAUUGAUGCGGGUAUCUCUGUCCCCUCCCUCUUUAAAGUCCUCUAUCUCUCUGGAGGCUAUGACCACUUCUUUCUGUGGGCCCUACAGUUCCCAGAGUUAGAACUGGACUUAUCUGUGGGAAUAAACUAGGCAUCUGGUACCCUGAAAGACUCAGUAACUCUCUAACCAGAGUUUAAUAGGAAUAGCAAUUGAGAAAGAAUACAGAGCCUAGAGUGUAGGUGAUUGCUGUGGUCACUGUAUAUCAAGGGUGAAG